rnacentral:rRNA from 1 species
UACGGAGGGGGCUAGCGUUGUUCGGAAUUACUGGGCGUAAAGCGCACGUAGGCGGCUUUGUAAGUUAGAGGUGAAAGCCCAGGGCUUAACCCUGGAAUUGCCUUUAAGACUGCAUCGCUAGAAUCGUGGAGAGGUGAGUGGAAUUCCGAGUGUAGAGGUGAAAUUCGUAGAUAUUCGGAAGAACACCAGUGGCGAAGGCGGUCUGCUGGGGUAAUGCUGACACUGAUGCGCGAAAGCGUGGGGAGCAAACAGG